ACUAUAAACUAUCUCUAUUUUCAACAUUGUCCCUUUGCUUUCCCUGUUUAUCUGGAUUUAAUCUGCACAGCUACCAAGAGAAAAAAGAGCAGGUGAACAGAAGCUCAUGUGCCAUCUCCUUUUCUCCAGUUAUUGCUCACUUACAUAGAGUUGAGCAGGUAUUUACAACAAAGGCAGGUAAUAUGAUAGGCUUCUUCAAGUAUCUGAAGGGCUAUCAUGCUGAUGAUGGGUAUUUUCUUUCCUCCUAAACAUUUGGAGGAGCUUACAGAUGAUAAGAGCUGUUUGACAGUGGAGCAGACUGCUUCAGAAGGUGAUGGAGAUUUUUGUGCUGGAGAAGCUGGAGAUUUGUUAAACAAAGCUGGGUGGUUAUUUGUUAGAGAUACUUAAGAUGUACAUUUCUUGGAUCAUCAGAGGACUGGGUGAACCUUAAAGGUACUUUUUGACUUUCCAUUUCUACAAAUGCUAUAAUUAUAUGAAAAGCAAGUUUAAAGGGGGCAAUAGGGGGCAGGGAUGGCAGCGGUCUCUUUACAGGCUAUAGCCAAGUUAUUUUUGCCAUUACAUGUAUUGGUCCCAGUCACUUGCUAGUUACUUGUUUUUUUAUUCUUCAGUGAAUCAAUAGGUAGUGUUUUGUCUAAUGAUGUGUUGUUUUGUGUUUCAGAUAACUGGGUAACUAGGGCAAGGAGUUUUGGAAAUGACUGCUGGAAGGUGAAAACAUGGAUUGCUGCAACAAUCAAAUCCUGGCAUACAUAGGUUCUUGUGCAGGCCCACAAUAAGGAACAAAUUCUAACUCUAUUAUCAGAUGCAAGUUCGGGAGCGUUGUCAUUUACAUCGAGAACUUUGAUAGCGACAGGCACUCGAGAUAUUUGACUGGGGUUUCCUAAGAGAAGAAAAACACAGCAUGGGGAAAAAAAGAGAGGGAACAUGAUUAUUCCCAACUAGUAAUGCUGGCUUUCAGGAUGGGUUUUUCCUCAAUCCCAACUCACCCUUUUAAGAUACGUAUUGUUUUAUGCAAAGCUUAUGUUUCCAAGCAGAGGAAAGAGCAAAAAUACUUUUGUACAGUUAUCCACUAAAGAGAUCCAUGUACAUCACUUGCUAGAUUAGGAAAAAGAAUGAAUCAGAUGGGCACUGCACAUUGCUUUCAAAAUGAGGUACAUUUCAAUGUUUUUUAAAUAACAGUUUUCUAUGAAAGUGAAGAAUAACAUUAGACUUUUAAACAUUAAAUCUUCCAAGAUUCUUUUGUCUGCCCACCACUCUACUUUAAGCUUGCAAGGGGUUGAUAGCUCCAUACAGAUACAUAUUUAUCAAGAUUGUAUCUGAUGGAUCUUGCAAGAUAACCUGCCUGCCCAAGAGAUUGGUUUUAUUCUGUACUGUUUGGGCCUUUCUUCCCUCAUCCCUCAAUGCAAUCUUUAAUCUGCAGAAAACAGUGUACAGAGCAACAGGGCUAACGUGUAAAGAUGCAUUGUAAAGAUACAUUAUCGAAUUUCAAGUAUGGUACUAAAGUAAAACCCAAGAGUAAGGUUAAGCUGGCUUUUUUGUAGAGAGCAUACUAAUGGGGGAAAGGCAGAACUGGGGAUGCUUCUGACAUUCUCCAGAUCUGGGGAUUAUUCUGCCUGUUUUCUCCCAGAUGCCCAUUUGUUUUGUGCUGAUAUUUACCUUUAAAGAACUAAUUGGCUGAGGAUAAGGCUAAUGGAAAGAUCAUCUGCAAUAAUGUUAUCUAUGUAACAUUAUUGGAGCUUGCUUUCUUGUCCACUAGUGAGAAUUGUUAUCCAGGAACAGGUCCU